AAGUGCAAUUGAUUUCAUAUUUCUUAUGUUAGUUUCUAAUUAAGUUUUUGAAAAGUUUAUAAAUUUUCAGUCCAUAUCAAUGGUGUAAUCAUUAGCUAUUAGAGUCUUAAUUUGCUAUAGGAUUUGUUAAGAGUUUGUUUAAGAUUUAGGAUUUGAUUAAAUUUGAUUUAGAAUUUAUAAUUUACUUAGGAUAUAUUUAGGAUUUGUGUAGGAUUUGGUUAAAAUUUCAUCAAGAUUUGAUUUAGGAUUUGAUUUAGGAUUUUAUUAGAAUUUGAUUUAGGAUUUAAUUAAGUUUUAGGAUUUAUUUAAUAUUUUAUUAAGAUUUGAUUAGAAUUUUUUUAAGAUUGAUUAAAGAUUUGAUUAAGAUUUGUUUAAGAUUUGAUUAGUAUUGGUUUAGAAUAUCAUUAGGAUUUAUUGAGGAUUACAUUAGAAUUUAAUUAAGAU
rnacentral:lncRNA from 1 species